AACUUUUCGAAUCUGUGCUGAGAUUUAGUCAGACACCAACCCAUUAGGUCUGAUUAGACUUCCAAGAUAAGUGAAGUU
rfam:Schistosoma haematobium scaffold2606_2, whole genome shotgun sequence.